rfam:Dipodomys ordii contig_22097, whole genome shotgun sequence.
GGGAGGGUAACUCAGUGGUAGAGUGCUUGCCUUGCAUGCAUGAGGCCCUGGGCUCCAUUCCUCAGCACCACCU